CACCAAGAAAAUAUUAGAAAGAAAAAAAGGAAAGUUUGUCAAAAUACAAACUUUUGGCUUCAAAUGGAUUCUGAAGGGACAUUUUGAGUUGUUAAACGGAGAAGAAAGGGAGAAUAUAGAGGGUUUGAAGGGGAGAUUGGUUCGGCAGCGGCGAGACUUCGACCUGGAACGGUGCUUUCUCUUCGGCGGCGAGACUGGUUCGGCAAUGGUGAUGAUUGAUGGUUCGAAGGGGAAGGGUUUCGUUCUUCUCUUUUCUUCGAUCCGGAAAAAAUCUCAGUUUGAUGCUUGAGUUGAAAUCCUUGCAGCUUGUUCCAAGCCUAACAGCAGAACGAGAUGAUGAAAUUUGGAAGGCUGCUUUAAAUACUAGCAACAGGUUAGAAGAUCCUUGGGGAAUUUUGGGGCUUUAUUGGCAUCAAACUAGAAAGGGUAUGACUCUCUCCUAUUUUCUUUUUCUCAUGUUGUUUUAUUACUUAUGGGGAUCAAAAAGGCAUUGGUAGCAUUAUGUAAUGGGUUUUAUUGGACUAGGAUAUGAUUUUGAAUAUUGAUAUAUUAAUUUGGGAUUUGAUUCCAUAUUUUCUUUCUCUUUUGUUCUUUUGGUGCCACAUCAAGUCAUUUUUUGACUGUUGAUAAGGCUAUGAUCCUUUUGAUAUGUUUCCUGAUUCUCACACAUAUUGGGUAUGGAUCCACUGGUUCAUUGGUCAAAAUUUUGGUCAAAUACCGUGACAAUUUGCUGAAUUGAUUAAGUUAAAUUUUCUUUUUAGUUAAUGAAAUCUUAGUUUCAAAUUCACACCAAUUCAAGGUACCCGAAUUCGAGGCUUGAGGGUUUUGAUUAAGAAUUGGAUUGAAGGUUCGAACCAGGUUCUAAAAUUAGAGCUAAAGCUCAUUUACUCGGUGGUUUGAAUCUUGGUGGGUGAUGAACACAUUUGCAUUUGUAGCUCAUCCGUGUCCUAUUUAGUGAAAUUCUUUUGUGCUUUGAAUUAUUUAAAUCCAAGAAGGAAUUUGUAAUCGUGGAUGAUGAAAUAAAUUUGUGGUCUAAAGGCCACAUUAUUCUAACAAUUAGACUGAUAAUCUUAAUCCCAAAUACAAAAGUUUGGGUAGAACGAUGCCAUUUAAAUACUUAACUAGGAAAUUACUACACAUUAAAUUUUUCUUGAUUUCUACAGUACUUUGAUGGUCCAUUGGACCACCUACUAAAGGUCGUGCACAUUCAGUUCUAUCAAGAACUUGGGCCAUUAAAGAUCACUCUCACAGAGAAAGUAAUUCUCAGCAACUAUAAGAACACCUCCAAAAAGGCCUAAUUUCUGAAUGGGUGAAGCCACCUUAUAUCUAUCUAUCUAUACUAUUAUAAAGUGAACACCUCUUAUGGUGUCAUGAAGCUUUACU